UAAAACCAGCACCUCAAGUGGUCAGGAUGAUUAUUGGGCCUAAAGCAUCCGUAGCCUGUUCUGUAAGUUUUCGGUUAAAUCUAUGCGCUCAACGUAUAGGCUGCCGAAAAUACUGCAAAACUAGGGAGUGGGAGAGGUAGACGGUACUCGGUAGGAAGGGGUAAAAUCCUUUGAUCUAUCGAUGACCACCUGUGGCGAAGGCGGUCUACUAGAACACGUUCGACGGUGAGGGAUGAAAGCUGGGGGAGCAAACCGGAUUAGAUACCCGGGUAAUCCCAGCUGUAAACGAUGCAAACUCGAUGAUGCGUUGGCUUAUUGCUAGCGCAGUGUCGCAGGGAAGCCGUUAAGUUUGCCGCCUGGGAAGUACGUACGCAAGUAUG
rnacentral:rRNA from 2 species